GUGGAGACUUAUCAGCCACAGCCUGCUGGUGAAGUCAGCCUGCAGUGCAUUGAAGAGCCAAACCCACUGCCACACAGGGCCCUGUGAAAAUAACCAUGCCGGCAGAAAUGAACAAGGGCGGAGGGCAGGGCCGGAGGACUGCCUCCGAUCCGCCCGGGGAGGCGUGGCUGUCAUCCACUAGAAGGUGGAGGAGUGGCCGAGGACCAGGCUACGGCGUAUCGGAGAACCAGCCAAUCCAGGAAGACGGGGAUGACCUGCCGGCAGACGGGAAGUGGGGGGAUGUACGUCAUGCCGGGGGCUCCCCGGCCUGAGAGAACGAGGGAGGAAUGUGGCAGGCGGAGGGCGGGGCCAGGUCAUGAUUCCGCACACCCGGCCCCGAAUUAGACUGAUUAAGCCCGAGAGGGAUAAGGCCGACUGGAGACGGCAGUGUGACAGAGAGAGAGUU